GGCCGGUCUAAAGGUAGUGAGUUGUUUCAGUUCGCAAUCAGUUAUAGACAAAACUCCUUAUUCUACUUUUUCCUCCCUUCUCAUUACUACACUUUACUAGUAAGG
rfam:Otolemur garnettii contig180551, whole genome shotgun sequence.